CCAAUAGCGUAUAUUAAAGUUGUUGCAGUUAAAAAGCUCGUAGUUGAAUUUUGGGUCUGGCCGGGCGGUCCGCCCUCUGGGUGAGCACUGUUCCGACGUCGGGCCUACCCUUCUGGUGAGUCGGCAUGUCCUUUAUUGGGUGUGUCGGGGAACCAGGACCAUUACCUUGAAAAAAUUAGAGUGUUCAAAGCAGGCGUAUGCUCGGAUACAUUAGCAUGGAAUAAUGAAAUAGGACGCGUGGUGCUAUUUUGUUGGUUUCUAGAACCGCCGUAAUGAUUAAUAGGGAUAGUUGGGGGCAUUAGUAUUCAAUUGUCAGAGGUGAAAUUCUUGGAUUUAUUGAAGACUAACUUCUGCGAAAGCAUUUGCCAAGGAUGUUUUCAUUAAUCAAGAACGAAGGUUAGGGGAUCGAAGACGAUCAGAUACCGUCGUAGUCUUAACCAUAAACUAUGCCGACUAGGAAUCGGGCGAUGUUAUUCUCAUGACUCGCCCGGCGCCUUAUG
rnacentral:rRNA from 1 species